CAUAUUAUAAGCAUCCAUCCUUAUAAAGGAAGAGAAAGCCUGAUGGUUUUCAGAACAUCUGUUGAGAGAUGGAUGGUAAUGCUCUCCAGGCACACUUCAAGGAAGACACAGACGGUAGGAAGACACAGAUGGUAGGUACCGACUGAUCAUGAAGAAUGCGUACUAUGUACACAAGGUCAGGCAAAAGAAAAGUAGGAGCUGUUUCCAGGUUAGGAUGAAGGCAAUUCAAGUGUAAAUAUCUGAGGGAAGGAUGGGGCAGCAAUUACCCAGCUGUCACUAGUCAGCGACCAGAUAAUCAUCAGUGUUAACCCUGUUUGCAAAGGUAAGAGGAAGGGCAGACUUAUCUCCUAAUCCCUUUCUCUUACCAAAUGAAAGAGGACGUGGUUCUCUUCUACACCUGCUCCCGAGUGGCUACUUUUCAGUCCAUGAAGGUAGAAGAGAAUCAGCAGAUCCUCCACAAACUGAUAAUGCCCCCAACAGAAACAAUGCUGUCAUGGAGACUGAAUCACCUCCUCAAGCAAUGAGGACUUCUUUCAAUGACAUCUUGCAAAACCAGAACUGACAUAAUGAUCAGCCAGAUCUAGCCCACCCCAGCAAAUCCAUACAAGCUGAUCUUAUUGUUUUGUAUGAUCCAAUCUGACUCUAUUCAUAAGAGCUAAUUCCCUGC
rnacentral:lncRNA from 1 species